rnacentral:rRNA from 1 species
GACGAACGCUGGCGGCGUGCUUAACACAUGCAAGUCGAACGGAAAGGCCCUGCUUUUGUGGGGUGCUCGAGUGGCGAACGGGUGAGUAACACGUGAGUAACCUGCCCUUGACUUUGGGAUAACUUCAGGAAACUGUGGCUAAUACCGGAUAGGAGCUCCUGCUGCAUGGUGGGGGUUGGAAAGUUUCGGCGGUUGGGGAUGGACUCGCGGCUUAUCAGCUUGUUGGUGGGGUAGUGGCUUACCAAGGCUUUGACGGGUAGCCGGCCUGAGAGGGUGACCGGCCACAUUGGGACUGAGAUACGGCCCAGACUCCUACGGGAGGCAGCAGUGGGGAAUAUUGCACAAUGGGCGGAAGCCUGAUGCAGCAACGCCGCGUGCGGGAUGACGGCCUUAGGGUUGUAAACCGCUUUCGCCUGUGACGAAGCGUGAGUGACGGUAAUGGGUAAAGAAGCACCGGCUAACUACGUG